CUCUCUGCCCAGGAUAAACCUAGAAAGGUAACAUCUGUCAGUGGAUUCUAGGAUGUGCAUCUGUAUUAGGGUGUCAUUCAGCACGGAAGCCCAGCUGCUCAAUGCUCACUUGGAUCCAGGCCAAGUCUACACUACAAAGCACUAGGUAAGGCUGCAGAUGAAUCUGGGAGAAGAGGAAGAGCUGAAGCCCACCCCUGGACACUGCAGGGAGGAGCCACUGCUUUGCCCCUCCACCACCUCUGCCCAGGAGGCAGUCAUGGCUACAGGAAAACCCCCUGGGGCCACAUGCAGCCACGGUGGCUGCACUUGAGAAAUGCUGGCUUUUAAGACCAUUUUAGCAGUCAGCCACAGUAAUGUUAUGUUGCUUAUUGUCUCUCUCAUGUUGUACUUAUUUGCUUGUACUUCGUAUGGGUGGGUUUUCACCUCCUUCUACGUAUUAUGCAAUGCUUGGGGUAGGCUAAGCAAGAUACUGAGUUUCCAGAAAUGCAACUUGAUUGUGUGCAAAGAAACAGGCAACAAAACCAAAGAACAAAAACACAAGAUUAAAAACCUUUUAUCAACAUUA